AGGAAUAUUGGUCAAUGGGCGGGAGCCUGAACCAGCCAAGCCGCGUGAAGGAGGAAGGCGCCAGGCGUCGUAAACUUCUUUUGUCGGGGAACAAAGGGCGCCACGCGUGGCGUUGUGAGUGUACCCGCAGAAAAAGCAUCUGCUACCUCCGUGCCAGCAGCCGCGGUAAUACGGAGGAUGCGAGCGUUAUCCGGAUUUAUUGGGUUUAAAGGGUGCGUAGGCGGGCUGUUAAGUCAGCGGUCAAAUGUCGGGGCUCAACCCCGGCCUGCCGUUGAAACUGGCGGCCUCGAGUGGGCGAGAAGUAUGCGGAAUGCGUGGUGUAGCGGUGAAAUGCAUAGAUAUCACGCAGAACUCCGAUUGCGAAGGCAGCAUACCGGCGCCCUACUGACGCUGAGGCACGAAAGCGUGGGUAUCGAACAG
rnacentral:rRNA from 1 species